UACGUAGGGUGCGAGCGUUGUCCGGAAUUAUUGGGCGUAAAGGGCUCGUAGGCGGUUUGUCGCGUCGGGAGUGAAAACACCGGGCUUAACUCGGUGCUUGCUUUCGAUACGGGCAGACUAGAGGUAUGCAGGGGAGAACGGAAUUCCUGGUGUAGCGGUGAAAUGCGCAGAUAUCAGGAAGAACACCCGUGGCGAAGGCGGCUCUCUGGGACGGUACUGACGCUGAGACGCGAAAAGCGUGGGGAGCGAACAGG
rnacentral:rRNA from 1 species